rnacentral:misc_RNA from 1 species
CCCGCCAAUACGAAAUCACAUUCUCUCCUCUCUCUCUCUUUCUCUCUCUGCUAUUAAUGAAAAGUUCUCAGUCCGUAUACGGUUGCCGGAACGCACGGUCCAGCGCACGGUCAACGCACGACCGCUUCUAUUACUCACCGAGCUCCUCAUACUCUGAUGCCUCCACCGUCAGGAAGCGGAAUUCGCUGGCAGUCGCUGCAAAAUCGGUGGCCGGAUUGUUCGUGACCUGCUUUACACCACCCGAGACGAUCAACUCCGAGAAUUUCGGAGAAUCUGAAGAGUUCAAACCUCCCUCUGUCUUUUCCGAUGCAACGGGAUCGAGCAGAGACAGAAGACGAACUUCAGGUAUCUAUGGCAGUCCUCAGAAUUCAACUCAUGGAAGAGAGCCUGGGAGUGUAAAAUUCACCAUGGAAGAAAUCUACAAAGCUACAAGGAACUUUUC